rnacentral:sRNA from 1 species
GACAGGUAUGGUGUGUAUGCCUGUAAUCUCAGCUACUGGAGAGGCUGAGGCAAGAGGAUCACAAGUUUGAGGCCAGCCUCAGAAACUUAGUGAGACCCUGUCUCAA